CUAACGUUAGUAAGUCAGCUAAGAACGUAACGUUAGCUAAUUACACAACUUAGCUACCUAGCUAGUUAGCUGGAGGCCUCCCAUACCUCCAACCACUGUGUCAAGCAACACAUCUCGGACCAGUCUGAUGAAAUUGAUGUGAACCCUUCUUCAAACUCCGAGGUGGCACGCACCAUGCAAAAGAAUGACCGGUCCGGGGACGAAAGCCAGCGGGACAGUGUGUCCGAUGAUUCAUCUGACUCCCCAGAGCCGGGGCCAGUCA
rnacentral:lncRNA from 1 species